rnacentral:rRNA from 1 species
CCUACGGGAGGCAGCAGUGAGGAAUAUUGGUCAAUGGGCGAGAGCCUGAACCAGCCAAGUAGCGUGCAGGAUGACGGCCCUAUGGGUUGUAAACUGCUUUUAUAAGGGAAUAAAGUGAGUCUCGUGAGGCUUUUUUGCAUGUACCUUAUGAAUAAGGACCGGCUAAUUCCGUGCCAGCAG